GCCCUGAGCUGGACAUAGAGAUCACCACAGUGGUGUUGAAUCCUGGGAUAUGUGUCAUCUUGUCAGGGAGAAAUGGGCGAAGGCCUUCAGGCCGGAGACGAGCAUGCACCUCUUUUUCCAUAGGUUUUGUAACCAGGAAAGUAUGAAGUGUGCCAGAUAGUCUGGCUGUCCCCAUUCAAAAAAUCUUGGGUGCCUGAUCGUGUGGUAUCAAACAUGGG